AUUAGGGAGGAGGGUCCUGGGGAAGUCAAAGCUUCCACACCUGUUCUCAAAGCCCCUCUGAGGUAUCCCCUCCCAGAUUCCAGAUCAGGUUUGGGGCUCCCAGGAGCCCUCGCUUUCUCCCCAAUAACCUCCUCCCCUGGCUCCGGGUCCUGCCCUUUGGGCUACAUGGCACAGCCUGUUUCCCUGGCCCUGUGAAGGUCCCUCCAGAGGCUGCUCUGCUCCAAGGCACACACAGACCCCAGGCCUGGCCUCCCUGAGUUGUUCCUCCCUACCAUGGCCUCUAUCCCCUGUGCGGUCUCAUCCGGAGUAAGCCUGAAGCUCGUCUUGUGAAGCCACCAUCACAUUGGCUCUUUCAGCAAUAAGCCUAAGAAAUGUAGUCUCCUCAGGCCCACGAGGUCCUCUAGAACCCCCAGAUCUUUGUGCCAACUCGUCUUUCUCCAGCUGAAGUGCUACAGCCUCUUGGUCUAUCCAUGUAGAGCUGUGAUGGCAUCAAGAAGGAAGUGAGACGCCCCUGGGACACUCCCAGGAGGGAGCAGAGGCUCUGGGGCUCCUGGCAGAUGGGGAAAUUGAGGCUCAGACAGUUACAGGGGCUUGAGUCAGCCACCGUCAAGCUGGCCCCAGGGCUCCUUCUCCUCUCCUGUGCUCGCUCUCAGCCCAGCUGGCUCCUCAGACUUCUCCUGGACAGGGUUGUAAACUCCAGCACUGGUCGACAAUCUCUUCACUGGAGGCAUCUGGCACCUAGAGGACCCUGUGGAAGCCAUGAGGGGUGAAGCUGCCAGCCGCCGCAGGUCCCCCUCCCCACUGCCCGUGCCCAGGCUGGCCUCUGCACAGGCAGGUUACCUUAAGACCUGGACACCCCUCCCUCUUCUGGGGUGCUGAACUGAUUCCUGGCUCUGGAGAACUCUUAUAGAAGCCACACAGCUUCUGCCAAAGUGUCCCAUGUCCACCAAGACAUGGAACACCAGGGUCAGCCUGGCUGAGAAGGCCCCAGAGCAUCUAGAGACCCUUGGGUCUAGAGACCUCCCACGAGAAAGGCUGGCAUCCUGGGGGAAGCCUGAGCCAGGGCAGCCCCAUGGGAGGGGCCUGGGACCAGACUCCAGGUCUGCAGUCCUGUGGCUAUGGGGUCCAGAGCAUAUCCCCCUGGUCUCUCUGGGCCUAACUUCCUUCAUCUGCCCAUAAGAAAAACGGAAGCAAUCCCUUGCUUCUCACAGGAGAGUGGAAGAGCUCUGGGGGUCAAACAAACAAAACAGUGGAGCCAGCCUUCCUUCCUCAUAGGGCAUCCAUGCUGUGUCUGCUCUCACCGGGCUGGUCCAGGAGACUUGAAAACACUCCUGGAAAGGUGGAGGGGCUUUCAGGAGGGGCUCUGUAGUCUCCUGCUCCCCAGAUGGAGGGAUAAGCUCCCCACAGGGUCCAGGCCCUCCCUCCUGCUCUGCCUUCCCCAUUCCCACCUAGCCCCCCACCCAAUCUGCCAGCCUGCCCCCCUGCAGACACCUCUUCCCUCCCUCCUUCCCCAGCCUGGCUCUGGGACCUGAGCCUCGGGCCAUGCACUUUCCAUUAAGGAGAUAGCAUCCCUUUGCUGAAGUCCAUUUGGGAUCCAUUUUAGUGUUAUCUAAAAAUCAAAUCUACAUGGUAAUCCUUUUAAUGUACUCCUGACUUUAGAAAAAAAUGGCUUUGCGCUCCUUCAGGAAAGGUUUUAAAGCAUUACCCAGUAAUUACUACUCACCCAUGAAAACA
rnacentral:lncRNA from 1 species